rnacentral:rRNA from 1 species
UACAGAGGGGGCAAGCGUUAUUCGGAAUUAUUGGGCGUAAAGGGCGCGUAGGCGGCUUUGCAAGUGACGGGUGAAAUCCCUCGGCUUAACCGAGGAACUGCCUGUCAAACUGCAUGGCUUGAGACCGGGAGAGGUGAGUGGAAUUCCCAGUGUAGCGGUGAAAUGCGUAGAUAUUGGGAGGAACACCAGUGGCGAAGGCGACUCACUGGACCGGUACUGACGCUGAUGCGCGAAAGCGUGGGGAGCAAACAGG